CUUUAUAGUACCUAUUCCAGUCCGAUUGCGAGAUUAAAAUUAGCUAUAAUUCUGCAUAUAAGAUACCAAAAUCUAUUCUGGUAUCUUGUGGGGUGAUAGCACAA
rnacentral:snoRNA from 1 species